rnacentral:rRNA from 1 species
GAUGAACGCGGGCGGCGUGCCUAACACAUGCAAGUCGAGCGCGUCUGAUUUGAUGCUUGCAUUGAUGAAAGAUGAGCGGCGGACGGGUGAGUAACGCGUGGGUAACCUGCCCUAUACACAUGGAUAACAUACUGAAAAGUUUACUAAUACAUGAUAAUAUAUAUUUACGGCAUCGUAGAUAUAUCAAAGUGUUAGCGGUAUAGGAUGGACCCGCGUCUGAUUAGCUAGUUGGUGAGAUAACUGCCCACCAAGGCGACGAUCAGUAGCCGACCUGAGAGGGUGAUCGGCCACAUUGGAACUGAGACACGGUCCAAACUCCUACGGGAGGCAGCAGUGGGGAAUAUUGCACAAUGGGCGCAAGCCUGAUGCAGCAACGCCGCGUGAACGAUGAAGGUCUUCGGAUCGUAAAGUUCUGUUGCAGGGGAAGAUAAUGACGGUACCCUGUGAGGAAGCCCCGGCUAACUACGUGCCAGCAGCCGCGGUAAUACGUAGGGGGCUAGCGUUAUCCGGAUUUACUGGGCGUAAAGGGUGCGUAGGUGGUCUUUCAAGUCGGUGGUUAAAGGCUACGGCUCAACCGUAGUUAGCCUCCGAAACUGGAAGACUUGAGUGCAGGAGAGGAAAGUGGAAUUCCCAGUGUAGCGGUGAAAUGCGUAGAUAUUGGGAGGAACACCAGUAGCGAAGGCGGCUUUCUGGACUGCAACUGACACUGAGGCACGAAAGCGUGGGUAGCAAACAGG